rnacentral:rRNA from 1 species
UAUUGCACAAUGGGCGUAAGCCUGAUGCAGCAACUUCGCGUGAGCGAUGAAGGCCUUCGGGUCGUAACGUUCUGUCCUCAAGGAAGAUAAUGACGGUACUUGAGGAGGAAGCCCCGGCUAACUACGUGCCAGCAGCCGCGGUAAUACGUAGGGGGCUAGCGUUAUCCGGAAUUACUGGGCGUAAAGGGUGCGUAGGUGGUUUCUUAAGUCAGAGGUGAAAGGCUACGGCUCAACCGUAGUAAGCCGUUGAAACUGGGGAACUUGAGUGCAGGAGAGGGGAGUGGAAUUCCUAGUGUAGCGGUGAAAUGCGUAGAUAUUAGGAGGAACACCAGUUGCGAAGGCGGCUCUCUGGACUGUAACUGACACUGAGGCACGAAAGCGUGGGGAGCAAA